rnacentral:sRNA from 1 species
UUUAUUUUUCUGAUUCACUUCGUCUUCUUCACGGGUUUUUUUUUAUCUCCAGUAAUUGAUUUUAUUUUUCAACUCUCAUCAUUUAUGGUUAUGGUGAUGGAGAGAGAUGUGAUUGACCGGGGGAAAGACGAAGAAAGAGUUAGGGAUUUUGGUUAAAUGAUAUAGAUUGAUGGGGAAGUGAAGCAAUUGAGGGAUUUUGACGAGGAGGAAGUAGCAGCAGGAGAUGAAAUCGCAAUUGAAAUAUGAGAAAAUUUAGGGUUUUUGGUGAAUUGAAGGAAUCUUUGAGGAGAGUGUGAGAUUUGUGUUGGUUUUGUGAAAAAGGGGAUUUUAAUCUCUUUGGCCCCUUUUGGUUGAAUCAAUUUUUGAAAAACCCUCACUUAUUCUCACUACCCCUCUCCUUCCUAACCUAUUUGAAAUACAAUUUUACCCUUCUCCUUUACUUUUUUUUAAUUUUCUAUUUAAUUUUUGCUACCAAAUAAUUUAUUAAAAUCAACCAAUCAUAUGCAUUCUCUCUCUUAUCUCAUUAAUCAUUUAAAUCUACAAAAAAUGCUGGACAACUGAAACCAAUAGGCACAACUAUGUUGAUGGACUUCUACGAAAACAUAUAAUUACAUACCAUUCUUUUUUCUUUUUGAUUUUCAAGUUAUAAUCAAAAAGACUCCAGUCAUACGCAUUGCUUAUAAUGGAUACUAUUAAAUUUUUUGUCGUAUUUAUACAAAUUAAUAUGUUUUGUAUUGGUACAACUAAGUACAACUCGCACAACUAAGGUCUAUUCACUUGGCUAGUUUUCAGAAUAUUAUAAAA